rnacentral:lncRNA from 1 species
AUGAGAUCUCGUCAUUGUUAUCGAUAUUUGAUUUAUUUCCGGUGUAGCUUUGGAUUAUUUUUUCACUUUCAAACAUAAAUUUUGGCAGGGAAGCUUUUGAAUUAUGAGUGAACAGCGAACGAUUUCAAAAAGUACUAUGUCAAUUUAUUGUUUUGCUAACAGUUCAAUUUGCGUCAGUGACCUCCAUGAAUAGUAGAGAGCCCCCCCCCCCCAAGUUAACCAUAGAAAUUUAUAGUAAAUUAAAGCAAAUACAAUGUAUUCAUAUUAUAUGUAUGUAGUAUACAGAAUUAUAUCAGUG